AUUGAACGCUGGCGGCAGGCCUAACACAUGCAAGUCGAACGGUAGCACAGAGAGCUUGCUCUCGGGUGACGAGUGGCGGACGGGUGAGUAACGUCUGGGAAACUGCCCGAUGGAGGGGGAUAACUACUGGAAACGGUAGCUAAUACCGCAUACCGUCGCAAGACCAAAGUGGUGGACCUUCGGGCCUCACACCAUAGGAUGUGCCCAAGUGGGAUUAGCUAGUAGGUGGGGUAAUGGCUCACCUAGGCGACGAUCCCUAGCUGGUCUGAGAGGAUGACCAGCCACACUGGAACUGAGACACGGUCCAGACUCCUACGGGAGGCAGCAGUGGGGAAUAUUGCACAAUGGGCGCAAGCCUGAUGCAGCCAUGCCGCGUGUAUGAAGAAGGCCUUCGGGUUGUAAAGUACUUUCAGCGGGGAGGAAGGCGGUGGAGUUAAUAACUUCACCGAUUGACGUUACCCGCAGAAGAAGCACCGGCUAACUACGUGCCAGCCGCCGCUGUAA
rnacentral:rRNA from 1 species